UUGACCUCGGAUCAGGUAGGGAUACCCGCUGAACUUAAGCAUAUCAAUAAGCGGAGGAAAAGAAACCAACAGGGAUUGCCCUAGUAACGGCGAGUGAAGCGGCAACAGCUCAAAUUUGAAAUCUGGCGUCUUUGGCGUCCGAGUUGUAAUUUGCAGAGGGCGCUUUGGCAUUGGCAGCGGUCCAAGUUCCUUGGAACAGGACGUCACAGAGGGUGAGAAUCCCGUACGUGGUCGCUAGCCUUUACCGUGUAAAGCCCCUUCGACGAGUCGAGUUGUUUGGGAAUGCAGCUCUAAAUGGGAGGUAAAUUUCUUCUAAAGCUAAAUACUGGCCAGAGACCGAUAGCGCACAAGUAGAGUGAUCGAAAGAUGAAAAGCACUUUGGAAAGAGAGUUAAAAAGCACGUGAAAUUGUUGAAAGGGAAGCGCUUGCAGCCAGACUUGCCUGUAGUUGCUCAUCCGGGUUUUUACCCGGUGCACUCUUCUACGGGCAGGCCAGCAUCAGUUUGGGCGGUUGGAUAAAGGUCUCUGUCAUGUACCUCCUCUCGGGGAGAUCUUAUAGGGGAGACGACAUGCA
rnacentral:rRNA from 1 species